ACUUUACAAUGCGGGAAACCGUGAUAAGGGGACACCGAGUGCUAGCAUCAUAUGCUGGCUGUCCAGGUGUGUAAAAUACACCUGUUAGCAAGGGCCGGGCAAGACCGGUGCCAGCCGCCGCGGUAACACCGGCGGCCCGAGUGGUGAUCGUGAUUAUUGGGUCUAAAGGGUCCGUAGCCGGUUUGGUCAGUCCUCCGGGAAAUCUGAUAGCUCAACUAUUAGGCUUUCGGGGGAUACUGCCAGGCUUGGAACCGGGAGAGGUAAGAGGUACUACAGGGGUAGGAGUGAAAUCUUGUAAUCCCUGUGGGACCACCUGUGGCGAAGGCGUCUUACCAGAACGGGUUCGACGGUGAGGGACGAAAGCUGGGGGCACGAACCGG
rnacentral:rRNA from 1 species